GAAUAAAGUAUUAAUUACUAAGAUGUGCGAAGGUGGAAGUAUCUCGAAGGAAUAUGAUGAUAAAUGUGAUUCCAAGAGAUAACAAAUAAAAAAAAGGUCAUGUUCUAAACACUUAUUUUACAAUGCAAUGCUUUCCACUUAAAUCUGUAACUAUCGGGCGAAUGUAACAUUGGCAUUGAUAUCUAUACGCUUGAUUUGUUACUAGAUUGUAAGCUAUAAAACGAUAACAACAUAAGUAUUGCCUUUUUGUGCUUUAAUUUAUUGAUAUGUAUGUACAAAAGUAACAGCUUAUAAGAUUUUCAAGAAUUAAGUUUAUCUGAGCGAUCAUGUACCGAUAGUUAAGGAAAUAAUUUCGGUAAAAGCAAACUAAAACAUGUAUAGUUAUCCAGAAUUUUUUGUUUAAACAUUGAACCGUUACGUUAAUUUUGUCAUGUAAUGCUUUACAUGUUUGUAUUGGAAAAGAAAAAAUGAUUAGAACAUCCUUUUUUUUUUAAUAAUGAAUCAAAGGUGAUUAUGAUAUACGAUUAUUGUUUUUAAUGUUGUGGUAUAGAAAAUGAAAGUUGUGCGUAAAAUAAGUUAGUUACUUUGUUUCUCUUAUUCAUUCCUUCAGAGAGUACAGUUGUAAAAUGUGAUUUUCAGAAACGUCGAUUAAAACAGAACGAUCUUAUCGAAAAAAUUUGCAAGGUAGAUCAUGGCAGUAAAGAUUUUACACUGAUAAAGUUUUUUAUGCCGAAAAAUCGUUAACUCCGUUUUAAAAAAGUGAUUGUUUAAUACGUAGGUAUCUACUGCUUAUUUAAACUUUAUCGGUUUGUAUUUGACAUCAAUAAACGAAUGUAAAAACGUUAACAUUGUAUUACGUCUAUUUUCAAUAAUUUACGUAAUGGAAUUACAUUUGUAUUUUUAUAUUUUCGUCAUUCACAAUUAUUGUAAAUCUAUCAAAGCUAAUUGUAAGUCAAAUUGAAAUUUUCGAUAACGAGAAUUCAAAUUCGAUACAAUCGAAAUCAAUCGAUUUUUGAUUCCCUACCAAAUCAGUGACACCAUUGAUCAAACACAAAUAUUGUAGGUUAUGUUCGCAGCUAAAGUUAUUUAGCAAUUCAAAUUUUUCAAAGAACAUGUCGAAUUAAAGAACAAAUAAUUUUAACCAUUAAAUAAUGUUGAGUGCUAUGUGGGUUAUGCUGCAUCGAAAAUAAUAUUACCUAAAACAUGUAACUUCUCAGUAUAUACUUUGGAAAAAAACAAAUUGUUAGGAGAAAUAAAAAGGAACUACCAGAAGUGAAAUAAAUAAGUGAACAUGUUUAAAAACACAUUUCAAAGUGGGUUUUUAUCAAUUUUGUAUAGCAUUGGCAGCAAGCCUCUACAAAUUUGGGAUAAGAAAGUAAGAAAUGGACACAUAAAACGAAUUACAGACAAUGAUAUACAAAGUUUAGUACUGGAAAUAUUGGGUAGCAAUGUCAGUACCACAUAUAUUACCUGCCCUGCAGAUCCAAGAAAAACUUUAGGAAUAAAGUUACCAUUUUUGGUCAUGAUAAUUAAGAAUUUAAAGAAAUAUUUUACAUUUGAGGUUCAGGUAAUUGAUGAUAAAAAUGUACGCCGUAGAUUUCGUGCUAGUAAUUACCAAUCUACAACUAGAGUAAAACCAUUUAUUUGUACAAUGCCAAUGAGAUUAGACGAUGGAUGGAAUCAAAUCCAAUUUAACUUAGCUGACUUCACUAGACGUGCAUAUGGAACCAAUUAUGUAGAAACAUUAAGAGUUCAAAUUCAUGCAAAUUGUAGAAUACGAAGAGUAUACUUCUCUGAUAGAUUAUAUUCUGAAGAUGAGUUGCCUGCUGAAUUCAAGUUAUUUUUACCAAUUCAAAAUAAAGCUAAAUGUUAGGACAAUGUUAAUAUUUAAUAAAUAUAUUCUUUUACAUAUACGUAACAGUAGAUUGUUUCGAUAUCAACGACUAUACCCCACCAUUGUCAGAAGGAGGUAUGCCAAGAGAUUCCGAGGAAGCAAAUGGGGAGCAAUAUUUUAGGAUACAACUUGUUAAGAAAAAUUGAUAUUCCGCACCAACUUUACUUCAGUGGUUUAAUAUGUUUUUAAUAAUUAACACAUUGAAGGAAAAUUAAUCAAUGGUUUAUAGGUAUCUGUAAAAUAUAAAGUAUUUCCAGGAUUGGGUAAUGUAGUAAUUGAGUCUAGUGCUGAUUUGAUAGAUGUCGCUAGAAGACUAAAAUUUGGCAAGUGACAGUAAAUGGCGCGAAAAAUUAUUCGGUACGACAUAAUUUUAUUACUGUA